rnacentral:piRNA from 1 species
UGUGGGAACUCCUGAGAAGGGCCUCGUU